AGCAGCCGCGGUAAUUCCAGCUCCAAUAGCGUAUAUUAAAGUUGUUGCAGUUAAAAAGCUCGUAGUUGAAUUUCGGGAUCAAAUUGUCGGUCGUGCCUCGGUACGCACUGGUAUUAUUGGUUCCUACCUUCUGAAGAACCGCGAUGUCAUUAAUUUGGUGUCGUGGGGAAUCAGGACUGUUACUUUGAAAAAAUUAGAGUGUUUAAAGCAGGCUUACGCUUGAAUACAUUAGCAUGGAAUAAUGAAAUAGGACGUUUGAUUCUAUUUUGUUGGUUUCUAGGAUUGACGUAAUGAUUAAUAGGGAUAGUUGGGGGCAUUAGUAUUCAAUUGUCAGAGGUGAAAUUCUUGGAUUUAUUGAAGACUAACUACUGCGAAAGCAUUUGCCAAGGAUGUUUUCAUUAAUCAAGAACGAAAGUUAGGGGAUCGAAACG
rnacentral:rRNA from 1 species